GUGGUGGGGGGGUGCUUACCAUGCAGUCAGAACGAUGAAGCCCAGCUUGCUGGGUGGAUUAGUGGCGAACGGGUGAGUAACACGUGAGUAACCUGCCCUUGACUCUGGGAUAAGCCUGGGAAACUGGGUCUAAUACCGGAUAGGAACGUCCACCGCAUGGUGGGUGUUGGAAAGAUUUAUCGGUCAUGGAUGGACUCGCGGCCUAUCAGCUUGUUGGUGAGGUAAUGGCUCACCAAGGCGACGACGGGUAGCCGGCCUGAGAGGGUGACCGGCCACACUGGGACUGAAACACGGCCCAAACUCCUACGGGAGGCUCUGUGGGGAUUUUGCACAAUGAGC
rnacentral:rRNA from 1 species